GGAAGGUGCAAUAUGGUCCUUGUUUACUUCCCAAGUUGGAAGGUGCCAAAUUGGCAUUUUGCCAUAAAUGCGACACUGUAGCGUUUCGUUUGUAUUUGUGAAUUAUUGUCCAAAUAUUGACUAAUUAGGCUCAAAAGAUUCGUCUCGCAAAGUACAACAAAACUGUGCAAUUAGUUUUUGAUUUCGUCUACAUUUAGUACUCCAUGCAUGUACCGCAAGUUUGAUGUGAUGGGGAAUCUUCUUUUUACAUAGUGUCAAAGUUGGCAGUUUGGAGGGAAGUAAACAAGGGGAUGAUAUCUAUUAUAAGCGACAGAAUUGAAAACAAUUUUUAUAGCCCUCGUACUCUCGAAGGACUCACUUGCGGUCAGGAAGUGAUAAAAAUAUACGACGAAUAGCGGGAGGACGGAAAAAAAUAGAUGAUAGGAAAUGUUUCUGCCAAAAAUCUCUAUUUUUUCUCACGGUUCUUUCCUCCGUAUCCGUCCGUACAUACCCUCCCGCGCGCCAAUCCCCACCAAUCAAAUUAAUUGAUUGAUUGACAAUCAAUCAAAUUGAUUCAAAACAAUUAGAUCAG
rnacentral:lncRNA from 1 species